AUUGAACGUUGGCGGCACGCCUAAUACAUGCAAGUCGAACGAGAAAGCACUUCGGUGCGAGUAAAGUGGCGGACGGGUGAGUAACGCGUAGGAAUCUACCUAGUAGUCGGGGGACAACUCGAGGAAACUCGAGCUAAUACCGCAUACGCUCUAUGGAGGAAAGUGGGGGAUCUUCGGACCUCACGCUAUUAGAGGAGCCUGCGUUAGAUUAGCUGGUUGGUGAGGUAAAGGCUCACCAAGGCUACGAUCUAUAGCUGGUCUGAGAGGACGAUCAGCCACACUGGAACUGAGACACGGUCCAGACUCCUACGGGAGGCAGCAGUAGGGAAUCUUGGGCAAUGGGCGAAAGCCUGACCCAGCGAUGCCGCGUGUGCGAAGAAGGCCUUAGGGUUGUAAAGCACUUUCAGUUGCGAAGAAAAGCUGCGGUUUAAUACGCCGCGGUCUUGACGUUAACAACAGAAGAAGUACCGGCUAACUCCGUG
rnacentral:rRNA from 1 species